rnacentral:rRNA from 1 species
AGUGAACGCUGGCGGUAGGCCUAACACAUGCAAGUCGAACGGCAGCACAGUAAGAGCUUGCUCUUACGGGUGGCGAGUGGCGGACGGGUGAGGAAUACAUCGGAAUCUACUUUUUCGUGGGGGAUCACGUAGGGAAACUUACGCUAAUAUCGCAUACGACCUACGGGUGAAAGCAGGGGAUCUUCGGACCUUGCGCGAUUGAAUGCGCCGAUGUCGGAUUAGCUAGUUGGCGGGGUAAAGGCCCACCAAGGCGACGAUCCGUAGCUGGUCUGAGAGGAUGAUCGGCGACACUGGAACUGGAACACGGUCCAGACUCCUACGGGAGGGAGCAGUGGGGAAUAGGAGGCAGUGGGCGCAAGCAUGAUCCAGCCAGACCGCGUGGGUGGAGAAGGCCUUCGGGUUGUAAAGCCCUUUUGUGGGGAAAGAAAAGCAGCAGGUUAAUACCCCGCUGGUCUGACGGUACCCAAAGAAUAAGCACCGGCUAACUUCGUG